GUCUAUGGCGGACCGUGCAGGGUGGGCUCAUGCCCAUCCGGUUGUUGGCUUCGCGGCCGGGGUUCUAACCCUGCACGGUCCGCCACCCUC
rfam:Pseudomonas pseudoalcaligenes KF707 = NBRC 110670 strain KF707 ctg1623, whole genome shotgun sequence.